AGCUCACAGAUCUGCACGCGGCUGAACGACGUGCGGGGCUUUUUCCGUUUCGGUGGAGUUCGGUUCUGGUAUGGAUGGCCGAUCCGUCGUGUCACGGAGAACGGUGAAAGAGCAGCUGAAAAACAAGAUUUAGGAGCUAUGUCAGGUGUGCCGAUUGGAGAACAAAUCUAAUAACUAAUUUCCCAGAAACACUCCUCCGCAGAUACAUAUGUGGGUCAAAUGGAAGCAAAAACAAUCCCCGUAUUCAGUCUCGACAGCAGAGGGAAUUCUAAAUGAUAAGUCUGGGUAAUAAAAUUUAUGGUGAGCACAUCAAAAAAUCAAAGCUUGCCUUAGAGAAUAUGCGACCAGUAAUAAAAUCAGUUAUACGUGAUAUCACCUUCAUGCGACAGCGCCUGCCUUUCCCAUUGCGCAUAUUACCUUUGUUGAAAUCUAAUAAAUAUACAUGUAAUGGUUUCAAAGCGCGAUAUUGAAAUGUAACAUGGGCAUUUGUCGCUAUUUACGCGCAGUGAGGCAAAACAGAAUGUGCCUUUAAAUUUUCCCUCAUGCUGGGAAUUGAAAUAUCGAAUAGAAUAAAAUAAUUGUCAGGAAAUGCCAUAAACCGACCGCUCGAGAGCCUCGUCGUCCCUUUAGACACUGUCACCAUGGCUACACGGCCUCGUCUCAGUUUCAUAAUCAUUUGUAUUUAUGGGUGGGAAAGAUCAUUAUUGUCAUUUCAGAUAGAGGGGUAUCCACAUGCAAUUUCAUUUUCCAGUUUCUCCAAGGCCAUUGCUAUCAGAUUACGACCAUCACCUGCCCCUUGUUGUGAUGCAGCUGGACCCAACAGCCCUCUCCAGCAGCGGUAAUACAAAUAAAUUUACCUAGUGAUGAA